GUAGGUGAACCUGCGGAAGGAUCAUUAAUGAAUGUUUAGUCUUUGACUGAAAUUCUCCUUUACACACGUGCUCCUCAAGCUCAAUUGAGCUUGAGGCUCUUAUUUCCUUCCUAUUCUUAGUAGUCUGAAGCCAUCCACUUUGGAUGCAGAACAAGAAAUUAAAACUAUGAACAACGGAUCUCUAGGCUCUU
rnacentral:misc_RNA from 1 species